CCACGAUUGGAAUCAAGAUGCUUUGGUCGUGGUCGGAACAGCGCCGUGCACAAGGGGAUCUGCAAAGCACGGCACGUAAGCACUCAGAUGCGAAAGUAGGAACUGCGUUAGGCGUCCAGACGCAGGUAGCCCGAAUUUUAUAGCUGAUGAGCGUAGCGCGUUGCAGGGUGGCGGCCAAAAGGUCGUGAAAGCUACAGCACAGGG
rnacentral:ncRNA from 1 species